GUUUCCCAUUUAUAUAUUUUCCUUUUCUCAUUUUUAUGUUAACAUUUUUUUUUCUUUUUACGACUUGCCCUUCCCCUGUACGACUUCUCCUCUACCACUAUUCCCUUCUUCAUCUCCUUUUCUCGGCAAAACUAGAACCACUUCUCUUUUUCUUCUCCUUUUCUUGGCAAAAAACCAGACCCCAAGUUCUCUUCUUCUUCUCCUUUUCUUGGCAAAACCAGACCCCAAGUUCUCUUCUUCUUCUCCUUUUCUUGGCAAAACCAGACCCCAAGUUCUCUUCUUCUUCUCCUUUUCACGGAAAAACCAGACCCCAAAUUCUCUUUUACUUCUCUUCUUCUUCUCCUUUUCUUGGCAAAACCAAACCCCAAGUUCUCUUCUUCUUCUUCUCAUUUUCUCGGCCAAACCAAACCCCAAAUUCUCUUUUACUUCUAUUCUUCUUGUUCUUUUCUUGCCAAAAUCAGACCCUGAAUUCUAAUCGGAAACCACCCAUGACUGAUGGACUUUGGAGACUAGAGACCAUGUCAACCACGUAUAACUUGAUUGUGGCUAGAACCCGCAACCCACGCCGUCUCUGAAUAGUUUGUUGUGCAAUCCUUGGUGAUGUUGCAAAUUAUAGAUAUCCAACAUAUCUCACAAUGUAUCAUCUGCCCAAUCUACAUUUUUUUCUCUCUUUCAGUCAAUAGAUUGAUAGAAUAUCAUGGUUUAAUUGUCGUUUUGAAGACUGCAUUGAUCUCUGCAUUGCUAAUGGACUUAAAGCCCAAAUCAGGCCCAGUAGACGAAGACGAAACGAACUCUGGCGACCCAAGUCUCAGUAAGGCCCAAAGGGCAUCUCGGAAUAGAAUCCAGGACCAUCGCGUUGGUUUGUUGCAUACUCCCAGACCGCAUCCUUCGAUGCCUCCCGGGAUGUAAUGAAGAGGUCGUGGUUACCAAUUUCGAGAUUAGACCAGGAUGGCUGUAACACCCUACUACCUUAGAGCUGUUACUAAGUGAGUUUAAAAUGUGCAAUUAACUCACUAAACGAGGUUUUUAGAACAAAAGUGUGAUUAAACAAAAAGUCAAGGCUGUAAUCUUUGAAAAUACCUUGUUUCAUUGAAAAUUCCAAGUGUCUAACAUUUGGGAUCCCAAAAUUUAGUUUAUAAAAUAUU